rnacentral:rRNA from 1 species
GAUGAACGCUGGCUACAGGCUUAACACAUGCCAGUCGAGGGGAAACGACGGGGAAGCUUGCUUCCCCGGGCGUCGACCGGCGCACGGGUGAGUAACGCGUAUCCAACCUGCCUCUGACUGAGGGAUAACCCGUCGAAAGUCGGCCUAAUACCUCAUGGCAUCGUCUGCGGGCAUCCAACGACGAUUAAAGAUUUCAUCGGUCAGGGAUGGGGAUGCGUCUGAUUAGCUAGUUGGCGGGGUAACGGCCCACCAAGGCGACGAUCAGUAGGGGUUCUGAGGGGAAGGUCCCCCACAUUGGAACUGAGACACGGACCAAACUCCUACGGGAGGCAGCAGUGAGGAAUAUUGGUCAAUGGGCGAGAGCCUGAACCAGCCAAGUAGCGUGCAGGAUGACGGCCCUAUGGGUUGUAAACUGCUUUUAUGCGGGGAUAAAGUGAGGGACGUGUCCUUCAUUGCAGGUACCGCAUGAAUAAGGACCGGCUAAUUCCGUG